GGAACGAACGCUGGCGGCGUGGAUUAGGCAUGCAAGUCGAACGCGAAAGAGGGAGCAAUCCCUCGAGUAGAGUGGCGAACGGGUGAGUAACGCGUGAAGAACCUGCCUUCAACAGGGGGAUAACACUCCCAACGGGGUGCUAAUACCGCAUGAGACCACGGAGUCGCAUGGCUCUGAGGUCAAAGGUGGCCUCUAUUUAUAAGCUACCGGUUGAAGAUGGCUUCGCGUCCCAUUAGCUAGUUGGCGGUGUAAAAAGACCACCAAGGCGACGAUGGGU
rnacentral:rRNA from 1 species